rnacentral:rRNA from 1 species
GACGAACGCUGGCGGCGUGCCUAAUACAUGCAAGUCGAGCGCAGGAAACUGACGGAACUCUUCGGAGGGAAGGCAGUGGAAUGAGCGGCGGACGGGUGAGUAACACGUAAGGAACCUGCCUCAAGGAUUGGGAUAACUCCGAGAAAUCGGAGCUAAUACCGGAUAGUUCAACGGACCGCAUGGUCCGCUGAUGAAAGGCGCUCCGGCGUCACCUUGAGAUGGCCUUGCGGUGCAUUAGCUAGUUGGUGGGGUAACGGCCCACCAAGGCGACGAUGCAUAGCCGACCUGGGAGGGUGAUCGGCCACACUGGGACUGAGACACGGCCCAGACUCCUACGGGAGGCAGCAGUAGGGAAUCUUCCACAAUGGACGAAAGUCUGAUGGAGCAACGCCGCGUGAGUGAUGAAGGUUUUCGGAUCGUAAAACUCUGUUGUAAGGGAAGAACACGUACGAAAGGUAAUGCUCGUACCUUGACGGUACCUUACGAGAAAGCCACGGCUAACUACGUGCCAGCAGCCGCCGUAAGAC